CAAGUAUCAAUUUGUGGCUUGUUGUAUCCUGAAAAAGAUUGUCUGUAUUUUUUCCCAAAUCUGUCUACGGACAAUAACUUCUUUAAGAAAAGUCAUCUCACAUCUCAAGCCUUCUUCAAUUUCGUUUUUACUUUCCAUUAUUAUUUUCUAACACUAUCUACAUGAAUCCAUUGAAAAUAUGAAAUUACGUAUAGAAUUUCUGAGGAGAUUGCACUGAUAUAUAGAAUUUAAUUUGAGAGUGGAAUAUUUACUAUUUUCAUGUCAAACUCAAAAUAUAUGUAAACAUACUUUAAAAAUUGCUAUAUUUAUACUAAAUUUACAGUCAAAUUGUGGUUAACUAUUCCUCUAUUCCAUAAGAAAAAAAGAUUUGGUGUUCAAAAUCUGCUAACUCGACUAAUUCAAAUUAGCAUUUAAAAAAUCAAUACAGACGCUAACAUACCUUGAGUAUAGAAGAGAAAUAAGGACAGUCAAUGAUCUCAGCAGAUAAAACAAGGACAAAUGUACUACCCCUGUGUGCAAGAAAAUAUGGUUAAAUUUCCCUCAUCAUUUUCACAAAUUCCUCUCCCUCAUCUUCUUCAACUUCAGCUGCUGCCAUUGGCAAAGUAUAACUAAAAUGAUUUUCAGUCGCAGUAAUAACUCGGCCACAGUCAAUGCUACUGCAGCAGCUCAAACGACUUCUCUGUAUUUCUUUUCUUCUAUCCCCUUCAAUUCUCAAAAAAUUGUCUCCUCCCCCAAUGAAAAGAUCAUAUUUUUUCCCAUUCCCAAACUCCAUCCAUAAUUUAGUUUUAACAUUGCCAUGAUCUUGAAAAAAAUACCAAAUAAACGGCGAAAAGGCGGUGUUUAUGAUCAAUUGAAGACAAAAAAGAAAGAAAGUACUAAACGGUGGAAGUAAAGAGAAGACAACUUAGGUGACAAAUCUUGACGACAUGUUUAUGUUUUCGAACUGCAGCUAGCUCCAUUGCUUCACUAAUGAAAAAUUUCAGAAUGGAAAAAUUAUGUAAAGAAGGUGAAGUAGGAGUGGCGUGCUAGAGAGUCAUAUUCUUUAUUCUUGUAUGUCAUUGUAUUGCGAAAAAAAUGAGCUUUUAUUAAAGGUAUGUGGCAUGACACGUGGGUUAGUCAAACAGUCAAAGAGCAAUAAAUGAUUAAAAGACACGGGAGACAACAUACACGGUGGAAGAAAAGAAAACAGUCACGAGAGAAUCUUAGAUACGAUUCUCGUAUCUAUCCAAGGCAUUCAAUAUCUAUGGAUAAAAAGUGCAUUGAAGACACG
rnacentral:lncRNA from 1 species